GUCUUUCUUAAAGAGACAGACCCCGCACGAAAGGAAAAGUUUGUUUCUAUUCCACUCUCGCUGGGCUUUCGCAAGCUGAAAUUGUCUUACAAAUGACUUGCCCUGAAUCCAGGUGGAAAGACACCAGACAAAGGAAACCUUCCUAGUUCAUAGAUUGAAAGGACAUUCCCAAGUUUUGGAAUAAAUGUGUAAAAUUUGGUUUGCAA